AUUGAACGCUGGCGGCAUGCCUUACACAUGCAAGUCGAACGGCAGCAGGGGAGAAGCUUGCUUUUCCUGCCGGCGAGUGGCGAACGGGUGAGUAAUACAUCGGAACGUGCCCUGUAGUGGGGGAUAACUAGUCGAAAGAUUAGCUAAUACCGCAUACGACCUGAGGGUGAAAGUGGGGGACCGCAAGGCCUCAUGCUAUAGGAGCGGCCGAUGUCUGAUUAGCUAGUUGGUGGGGUAAAGGCCUACCAAGGCGACGAUCAGUAGCUGGUCUGAGAGGACGACCAGCCACACUGGGACUGAGACACGGCCCAGACUCCUACGGGAGGCAGCAGUGGGGAAUUUUGGACAAUGGGCGAAAGCCUGAUCCAGCAAUGCCGCGUGUGUGAAGAAGGCCUUCGGGUUGUAAAGCACUUUUGUCCGGAAAGAAAUGGCUCUGGUUAAUACCUGGGGUCGAUGACGGUACCGGAAGAAUAAGGACCGGCUAACUACGUGCCAGCAGCCGCAGUAACAC
rnacentral:rRNA from 1 species